UGAGAGAAGGGAAUGAAGGAGCUCUCUGGCUGGCAGUGCUGAACACCGGUGAUAGGGGGUGGGAUGACCUCGCAGGGUGCCCUGGAGGUCCAGGCCUGGGUGCAGUGAGUAGCUGAGGCACGGAGGGCAGGUCAAGGAGAAAAAGGUAUAGCUGGGCAGGGGAUGAGGAUGAAGACAGGGGAAGGACGAGGGGAGACCAGGAUAAGGAGGCGGUGUGAGGAUGAGAGGGGACAGGGUGGGGUGAGGGUGAGAUUUCUGGCUGAGCCUCAGGGCACCUGGCGCCCUUCCUGGGGGCUGGAGGAGGAUGGGGAGGGGCGGUGAGCUCCAGGUGGUGAGCUCCAUCUGGGACACACCUGCAGGGCCUGCAGGGCACUCAACUGGAGCUGCGUGGCGGGGAGGUGGGCAUCAGAGAGCCCGGGAAGGGGGAAUCUGGCUGACAUCAUCACACAAAGGACGACCGAGUCACUGAGUGAGGAGAGCUGUGGGUCAUAACAGGAGAAGCAGCUGGGGGCAGAACACAGAGGGCCCUGAACAUUCAGGAGUCAGGCAAGGAGCACAAGGUCCUCACUUCCCGGAGUUUCUGGACAUGAACAGAAAGCAACACUUUGAUGAUCAUGUGGGCAGGAGAGGGAUGAACUUUGGUGGGGUGAGGGGCAGGGAAACCGGACUUUUAGGCUCUCUGAGCAUCCCACCAAGUGGCUGUUGGUUCAGAAGACCUGUCCCCAGGGCGACUAAUGUCUGCACAAGAAUUGACUCAGUGUUGCUGCUCUCAGUACGGUGGAAAAGGUUUCUAACAGUGGUGCGUUGGAGCUGCCCCAACCAGCGCGUGAGAGCUGAUGGUUACAUGAUGAGCCCAGCAGAGAAAUAGGAAAUGAGAGGCAGACGAAAGGAGAUCAAGCUGUCAGCUUGAUUCCUGAC
rnacentral:lncRNA from 1 species